GGCAACCCACUCCAGUGUUCUUGCCUGGAGAAUCCCAGGGACGGGGGAGCCUGGUGGGCUGCCAUCUAUGGGGUCGCACAGAGUUGGACAUGACUGAAGCGACUUAGCAGCAACUUAGCAGCAUGUUGUUCAUAAACCAUGAAGUUUAUGUAAUCUUUUACAGCAGCAAUAGGAAACCAACACAUCUUGCUUAAGACUGGAUGAACCAAGAGAUAAUUUUGCCCCAGGCUUGGGUAACUGAGUAGGAUAACAGUGUGAAGCAAUCAGUCAUUUAAACAACCAUUUAGUAGAAACUGGUAACAAAUGUCUGCUGCUUAGAAGAAAUAGGAUGGUGUUCUUUCUAGGGAAUCUCCAAGACAUUCCUUUCUGAUCUUAGUACGCAGCCUGGCUGAGCUGCUGUGACCAGCGGUUCUGGUUUUCAUAGGAAUGCUGUGAGGUAGACCCCCGGGGCAGGCCUCUUGUACCAAGUUGGUGGCUAGAAAGCGUCACGUCUCAGGGCUACACCACGUACACCUGUGGCCUAGCGUGCACCUUGAGGCCUCUUCCUGGCGUCAUCUUCUGCCCUCAGCCUUUCUUCCUUCCUUACACUUUAGUUAAUUUCAAUAAUUUGUCCUAAGUCUUUUCUAGACCAAGCAGGAAUUAGGUAAAUAUCUCAUUAAAUAAAUGCAUUUAUAUACAAACCAUGAAUAAUACAGACAGUGUGGAAAGACGUUUGACUUUCUAUCCAGGAUUUUGUUUCUUAAAUCUUUGUCAUGUGGUGUUCGUGCUAUUUUUAUCUUUCUCCUAAGAGGGAAAAAGUAGGUCUCUGAUUAAUUAAUGGCAUUUUAGAGUUUUUAAAAAGUAUAUAGUGAGAAAUCAGUAAAAUUGAGGCAUACUUUAAGAAACAAAUUUUAUUGGCAAAAUGAUGGAGGUUGUACACAGGCCUCUCUUUUCUGUGUUAGUGGAAUAUCCCCUCAGUAAUGGGAAAAUUCAGGCCACUGAAGCAGUCUGUCCUCUAACCACAUCAAUACUGGAUUGGAAUGACAUGUUUUUCCUAUAGAAAAAAACUAUUUAAAACAUGUAAUAAGGAAAUGUUGUUCUUCAUAUCUAAAUGAAUGAUGUUGCAUUGAAAGGAUGUGAGCACUGAAUCUCAGAAGUGGAUCUGCACUAGCCCUUCCCCGUGAAUGUGCCCCUGUUUUUCCUUUAUACCAAUGUCCUUGUUUGUAAGGAAACAUCAUAAUUGGCUAGAGUAGGACAGAUCUAACGGGUACACACAAAUCAAACACAUAACUGAUGUAAUUUUGUCAUUGUAUAAAUUGGGCAAAAGAGCCAUGGUUCGAUUCAUCUAUUAAGGACUUGUUGAUUCUUGUGUGUCUGGCACUGUAACAGAUGCUGGAUUUUUGCAGGGAACAAAUUAGACACGGCUUCUCCCCUCGUUGAACACAUCUAAAGAGAAAGAGCCCUUCGUAACCACACAGUUGACCAUAGGAUUGCAGUUGUGAUAGGCCGUGGGGUCGUGCAGACGCUGUGAGAGAGUCUGAGGGUGGCCGGCCUCCGGAGGAAAUGGGGGAGCAUCUGUAUGGCGGAGUGUCCGCCAGCCCUGCUGUCGUGGGGUGCCGUGUUGGGGGCGGGCAGCGAGGUGUUUCUGCCAGAGGCAGCGGCAGAUGGUCCUGGAGCGGGGAGGGCUUGCAGCCCAGGUACCGGAUGGGAGGCCUUUGUGGCCCGAGCUUGUGUCCAAGCAGGAGAGCCGCAGGAAAUGCGCUGAGAAGGUAGCCUAGCCGGUGGGCGGGCUCUGUGGGUUGUUCAGGUGUCACCCUGCGUGCAGGGUGAAGCUGCUGAAGGAUUUUUCAGAGAUUAGUUUUGCACUGUUAAAAAAACGGCUUCCUCGUGUGAGGGGCAUGGUAGGAAAGAGUGUCUGAGGGGAGACCAGUUCGGAGGCUCUUGUGGAAGUUCAGGUGCAAAUACAAGUUGGGAUUGGGUAACGAUUAGAAAUUAAGAAUUGUGAAAGUAUUUGAGAUAUAUUUAGCAGAAUAUAUCAGCGGAACUUGGUGUGGUAGUGAUAUGAGAUUUUCGGGCUGGAACAAACAUAUGUUUGAAGGUACGGUUUGUUCAGAUGGUGUAUUAAUUUUCAGUUGCUGCAUGACAAAUUACCACAAACUUAGUGGCUUGUAAUAGACUUGUUCAUUAGCUUACAGUUGGGUAGGUUAGAAUUCUCCACGGCAAGGUUAACGUCAAGAUGGUAGGCAGAUGGGACUUCCCAGUGGUGCAGUGGUUACGACUCCGCCUUCUCAUGCAGGGGGUGCAGGUCCAGUCCCUGGUUCAGGGGCUGAGAUCCCACAUGCCUCGCUGCCAAAAAUACUAAAACAGAACAGAAGCAAUAGUAUAACGAAUUCAAUAAAGAGUUCAGAAAUGGCCCACAUCAGAAAUCGUAAAAGAAAAAGAUGGUAGCCAGCCAGAGUUCUUGUCUGGCGGCUCUGGGAAGAAAUGCACUUGGAAGCUCGUUGCCAUGGCCAGCAGACUCUCCUCCCAACGUCUUCAGUCUGCGGCCGCAGCGUCCUCAGUGGCGCCAGUGGGGCCUCUGUCGGCUGCAGAGGCCGUCUGCACCCACUCACCUGGCCCCCCGUCUUCAGGCCUCUGAGCUGGUGACAUGCUUCCCAGCUCCUGCGCUCUGACGUCCGGAUCUUCUGUCAUCUCUAGGCUUUGUGUAAUUAGGUCCAACCUACCUGAACAAUCUUCCUAUCGUGAGAUCAACUGAUUUGGUGAGCAGCAAAAUCCCUGUCUCCCAAGAGUGGCGUCUCCUCGUGCUCAGGUGCUCGGCAGGGGCCGCACAGAGGCCAUGGAGGCCACCUUGGACGGAGGCCGCGUUGGGAUUCUUCCUUAGAGCUCACAGAAGGUGAGCCAGGGGUGAUGCCCAUGGGGUGGGCAGAAAGGAUAGAACCCAGAUGUGUACAGAUCAAAGCUUGAGACGCCUCUGACAUACUCUAGUAGACACACGUGGUGAUAGCAUCGUGGGUGAUGAACGCUUGCUGUGUGCUGCCGAGCUGGUGCUUGUAUCAACUCAUUUAGUCCACGCGGUAACCUUAUGAAGUCAGUACCAUUUUUAUUAUUCCAAUUUUACAGAUGGGGAAACUGAGUCUCUUAGAGAGGUCACUGACUUGCUCAGGAUUACCCAGGAAGUAAAUAUAAAAAUUAGUUUUGAAACCUGAGUGGUCUGGCCUCCCAGGCUCACCUGAACUGUUGUGCUUUCUUUCAUCAGUGGGAUGUGGGCCUGGAGCUCAGCGAAGGUGUCUGGGCUGCAGGUGAAAAUUCUAGCAUCACUGGGAUGUAGAUGGCUUUGGAAGCCCAGUUGAGGAUGAGAUCAUCUCAGGAAAGCUUGUAGAACGGAGAGAAGAAGGGGACUCAGAACUGAGCUUCGAAGAACUCUAGAAUUUAGACGAUGGGUAAGAAAGGAGUAGCUAAGAAGGAAUGCAAAGGAGGAACGGCCGGGAGCGGGUGGGGGUGGGAGAGGCCUCGGAGAGCUGUGAUGCCGGGAAAGCAAGGAGAGAAGGUGCUUCAGAGGGCCUGUCAGAGCCGACUGAGCAGCUGAUGACCUUAUCAAGAGCAAUUUUAGUGGAGGUUUGAGGGGGAGGCCAGAUUGCAAUGGACUGAGGAGUGGAUGCAAGUGAGUACUUACAAAAAUUACUUUUUUUACAUGUACAACACUGCUUUUUUUAUUGAUUUAAUUUAUAUUUGGCAGUGCUGGCUGGGCUUUCCCUCGAUGCACAGGCUUCUAGAGCACGGGCUCAGCAGCUGUGAGGCACAGGCUUCACUUCUCCGUCACACAUGGGCUCUGCCCGGGCCGGGAUCACACCUGUGUCCCCUCAUUGGCAGGCGGAUUCUUAUCCACUGUGCCGCCAGGGAAGUCUGCAAGUGGAAACUUUGAAGAGGCUUGGUUCCAGAGGGGAUUAAAGAGAGAGACUUUGCCAGGGGUUCCGCUGGGGCAGGGCAGCUAUGUUUUGUUAUUUUAAGAGGAGUGAUGCUAGAAUACGUUUAGUGUGAGUCCAUUAUAGGGAGAAAGAGAGAGAGCACUACUGAAGAUACACAGAAAGAGGGGAUAACUGAAGGCAUUGAGAAGGCCCGUUGCUUCUUUUUUUUUGAACACAAUUUCUUUCUUUAUUUGGCAGUGCUGGGUCUCAGUCGCAGCACCCACGGUCUCUGUUGCAGCACACGGGGUCUUCAGUUUCCAUGUGUGGGCUCUAGUUCCCUGACCAGGGAUUGACCCUGCGCCCCCUGCUCUGGGAGCACAGUCUUAGCCACUGAACCACCAGGGAAGCGCCCUCAUCGCUUAUGUUAUGAUGAGAAGUGGGAACGGAUACAGAUUCUUUUAUAGAUUUGGUGGCAGGAAGAUAUGGGAGUUUCCAGGCCAUGCUUUUUUUCCCCCCUUCUCUAUGAAUUGUGAAGGGCAGUUCUUUAUUCAAGAAGAGAAAAAUAGUUUUAUUGUUUUAAAAAUUGUUCUUCUGGUCUUUAAAAAUUCUUAGAUAUGGAGAACCAUGCAAAAAGUAGACAGAAUUCACACGCUUCAGAUGGAAGUUUAUAGGAGAGCGUUGCAGAAGGACAUACAGACAGGUGAAGGACGUACAGAGAGGCUUUGGAUGCGGCCAGACGCGCUCUGUGCUCUCCACAGAGGUCGUUCUCUGGACGUGGUUUCUGGAUCAUGCCAAAAUUCUUCAAUCAGCUGGAUAAGUAAACACUGCUGUUUUAGACACUGAAAGCACAGUGAGUCUUGAGGGUAAGUGACCCCGGCAAUAAGAGAAAAGUGGGCAGCAUUGUUUUAAAGUACACAGAUAUUAAAUAUAACUUUGUUCUGCCUCCAGCAGAAUGUUGUCCAGAGAGAUGGUUUGAGGGCCAACCACAAAUCUAAACAGCCUCAGAACAGCUUACCACCUGGCGCUUAAAAGGAACCUAGUGUGCUGGCUCUUCAGCUUAGCCGCUGGCUCUCACGUCGUCCCCGGGAUCAGACUACUCGACUCUGCAGACGAGGGGUCAAGAUGUUUAGGUUUCAGGGUUUUGUACAUGCUGGACACCCCCAGAUUUAGAGUUUAUCUUGUAAAUUGUUGUAUAAAUAAUUUAUUUCCCCUUAACAAAAAGGAGAACAAGAACCGAAAUAGAGAGCGCGCUUUCUCACUGCAUGCAGCUGUCACCUUUUGACUGAAGCUAAAUUAGUCCAAGAAGCUUAUGUUUCUGCAGCGUUGAGUAAGAAAAGGCAAGGUUUUACAAGAAAAGUUCUGUUACAACUUCGUUGGUCUGGUCGCAGUAAAAUAGAUGCUAAAUCUGUACUUCCCAGUUGGUAGAUUAAGAACAGACCCAGGCGUAUUAAAUAAGGAUGAUUGAGUCAUGUGGCGCUC